AUGAUUUGUAAAUACUUCUUUUGCCGGUCAACAGAGCUUUCCGUUCCAUUUUUAAACACACCUGCCUUUCCAGCAAGUCUGGGGCCUCCUGAGGCUGGAGCCCGUCUCCCGUCUGCAGCCCGGUGCGCGGGGCUCGGGGCUCGCGUGGCCUCGCAGCGGGAGGGCGCCCCUGUGUUUGGAGGGUGGGCCGAGGGUGGUCGUGGGGAGGAAGCCAGGGGGAGGCGCCCAGGGCCGGAUGCACGUCGGGGAGCGGUGCUUGAGCUCAGGUGCCCCGGGCCGCCACCUCUUCCGCCUGGCACCUGCCGUCCCGGGCCGCCCACGGGCGUCCGCGGAGCCCCUCCCUCGCCGCCGUCCCGAGUCGCCCCGCGCGAGGCUUUUCCAGGUGCCCCGCCUGGACCGAGCCGGAGUUCCUGGGUCCCCCACCCCCAGCUUCUCCUCCGCGGCAGGGACUCCUCACCUUGCAGGGGCCAUCCAUUCCAUCUGCCUUCCAGUGUCAGCCCAGGCCUCCUGUCUCCCCCUUCUCAGGCCCUCCUGGUGGGAUCCCAUCGCAUCCCCUGCCUCCACUGUCAUCUGCUCCACGUGGUAUCUCCAGGGGGACCUCUCUGCUGGGCUCCAGGCCGCAUAGCUGUGGGUGGCCAGCACGAUGUCCCACCAGGACCCCUGCAGUCCCAGUGCCCCCGCCUGGUCAUCCGGGGACCUGUCCUCACUGCCUGCUGCCUGCACUGUGUGGAAGGACAGAGGCUAAACGAGGAAGCCUGGAACUCUGGUCUCAUGGACAUGGCAGCCUGCCCACCACCCACGCCUGCCCAGCCUUUCUUCACGCAGCGCUUAAAACGUGGAGAGCGGAAUCUUCUGGGCCCAGGUAACACACCUUUGCUCCGACAUUCCCUUCACUACUCACUGGCGAGCUCAGUUGGAAAUUCGCUCCCAGUAGGAGGUUCCGCAGCAGACACAUGGCUUCAGCAGUUCCAGUCUAAAUUUCGAGCAUAA
rnacentral:lncRNA from 1 species